rnacentral:rRNA from 1 species
UGGGGAAUAUUGGACAAUGGGGGCAACCCUGAUCCAGCCAUGCCGCGUGAGUGAUGAAGGCCUUCGGGUUGUAAAGCUCUUUUGGCGGGGACGAUGAUGACGGUACCCGCAGAAUAAGCCCCGGCUAACUUCGUGCCAGCAGCCGCGGUAAGACGAAGGGGGCUAGCGUUGUUCGGAAUUACUGGGCGUAAAGCGAGUGUAGGCGGUUGCCGUAGUCAGGUGUGAAAGCCUUGAGCUCAACUCAAGAAAUGCACUUGAUACUGGGUGACUAGAGGACCGGAGAGGAUAGUGGAAUUCCCAGUGUAGUGGUGAAAUACGUAGAGAUUGGGAAGAACACCAGUGGCGAAGGCGGCUAUCUGGACGGUUACUGACGCUAAGACUCGAAAGCGUGGGGAGCAAAACGGGAUUAGAUACCCUGGUAGUCCACGCCGUAAAACGAUGGGUGCUAGACGUUGGCGAGCUUGCUCGUCAGUGUCGCAGCUAACGCGUUAAGCACCCCGCCUGGGGAGUACGGCCGCAAGGUUGAAACUCAAAAGGAAUUGACGGGGGUCAUAGCUGUUUCCU